rnacentral:sRNA from 1 species
UACCCUUGGUGUUGGGAACUGGUAACAGUCCCACGGCCUCUUAUAGAGCCGCACAGCACCAAGGGUAUU